rnacentral:lncRNA from 1 species
AGCAAAAGAAUACAGGGUUGCGUUUCUAUGGAGAGUAGGACUGAUCUGUAUGCCCAAGCAAAAAUGAAAAACAGUACUUAAAAAUUAUGAAGAAUUUAAAGGUCCUAACAAGAAGUUGCAUCUGUUUCACAUGAAGUUGGUGUAAAAUACAGUGGCUUAAGUGGAAGUUCUGGGGAUAGAUGAUCCAAUUUUAAAGAGAGGUGAGUAUAAAACUUAUUCCUGGUAAUAAGCUCAGUGAGA